UACGGAGGGUGCAAGCAUUAAUCGGAAUUAUUGGGCGUAAAGGGCGCGUAGGCGGGUUUAUAAGUCAGAUGUGAAAUUCCGGAACUCAAUUCCGGAGCUGCAUUUGAAACUAUAAGUCUUGAGGGAUGGCGGAGAAAACGGAAUUCCACGUGUAGCGGUGAAAUGCGUAGAUAUGUGGAAGAACACCUGUGGCGAAAGCGGUUUUCUAGCUAUGACCUGACGCUGAGGCGCGAGAGCAAGGGGAGCAAACAGG
rnacentral:rRNA from 1 species